UUCUAUGAAUGCAUUAUCUAUAUUGUGAGAACCAAAUCAAAAACGGAAAUCACGACUUCAAAUAAAAUUCAAAGUUUACACUUUACUUGUACAAAUUACAAAAGGGCAAUAGUUGUCUUAUAUAUUACUGUCAAAUAAACUUGUUUGAAUAAUAUGUUGGGUCCAUAUACAUGAAAUUCUGGUUUUCAAAAACUGAGUUAGUUUUUCUACAUGCAAGCUCAAGAGCCAGUACCAAACCAAAGCUAAGUUGAAAGCUCUCAAAUUUUAUAUACCCAGUCCCCUCCCCGCCUUUUAUUUUCUCUACACACCUUCUCCCAACACAUCCAAUGAGUAGUUCCCAUUUCUUUCGCAAGAUCUCGUGAGCUUAAUAGGCAUUAUGAAGAACAACUCAAAUUUCCAAUGUUUUGCUUCAACUUUCACUAGGGACACCAUAAUUUAUAUUUGAGGCAUGACUCCCCACUUCAAACACAGCCUGACACCCAAAGUUUUCAGCCUCUGCCCAUGUCAAUGAAUCUCAUUCACUCAACUCGGUUGAAGACCGGAGUGUUAAGCAUGGCCAGCAGCUCAAAUCAAAGGUAAACUUCCUACCAUGCUUUUAAGAUGUUGCAUUUCCUUUCUGUUUCAUCAUACUCAUGAGCAUAGCAUGACACACCAAAGGUGUGGUACCUGCAAAAACUCCGACGAUCAAGUUAGUUAUGAAUUCAAAAUAAUUUUGGUAAAUAAAAGAACAUACUAAUCACAAGCAGAUCAUAACAACUUCACAAUUGCACAAUCAAAAUAAUAAUAAUGAGAAAGAUUGUCCAUAAAACCAUAACAGGAUAUAUUAAGUCAACCGUGCAAUUUUCUUAUAGACGACACAAGAAGAAGAUGGCUAAUUUUAAAUGAAUUGUAGCAUGUUGUAACUUCAUUGAAGAAAAAUCCAUAAAGCAAAUUGACAAAUCAGAAAAUAUGAUUUUGGAAGUCAUACAAAAUGGAAUCAUAUUCAGUAAUUGUAAAGUUCUCAACAAAUUCAUAUGGUCAGAUAUGAAAUUAUCAAGACUCAUUUAAGUACCGAGAGUUUGUGCAGUAUGAAUUAUCAAUAACUCAUUUAAGUACCGAGAGUUUUGUGCAGUAUGAAAUUAUCAAUAACUCAUUUAAGUACCGAGAGUUUGUGCAGUUACUACCUCUACAGCUCCGCCAAUAUAGAAAUAUAAUAAUAUAUCUCCAUAAAUUAUGUAUAUUAGAAUGUAGAUUAAAGCUCCUAAUGCUAAGACAAACUAAACCAUAUCAUAUAUAGAGAGAUAUAAACUUGGCUUGUGUUUGAUGAUGGAGUGAGAGAGUUGAGGUUGAUGGUUCUAUUCCUACCCACACCAUAAUAAAACUAACAUAUUAACAUUUGUUAAUAGAAAAAACAACAUCUUCAAAUGCAUAGAAUCUGACGUUACCAUCAUGGCUAUAACUAAACAACAAGAAUUCGACCUAAGGACAUUGGAAAUUACUGGGAUCUGACUUGAAUUAAAAAUAAUUUGCAUUGGAAAUUCUGGCAUUCGACCUAAACAAUUGAAAAAAUGGUAACACUUUCCAUCUACUAGAAUGAAACCAAUGGUAACACUUUCCAUCUACUAGAAUGAAACUCAAUACGAGAAAGAGAAAGAGCUGGAUGCAAACCGGAUUAUGUUCCAAAUCAGAGUGAAAAUCAACAAAAUGAUCUGACCAAGUGAAGUAAGGCAGCUAAAUUUAAUAUGGAAGAAAUACUGAAAUUAGACAAAGAACAAGUUCAUUUAAUCAUUGCAUUGAAGAAAACGUAAGGGUAAGUCCGAAAAAAACCUAUCCCUGCAAAAUAGUGCAUCAUGGGAUGCCUUAAAUUGCUAGCAAUAGUAGGAUCAACAUAAUCUAAUACAAUGAAAAUGUCACAUACGCUUGCUCCAUGGGCGGGGCCUAUAACAAAAUUCAUAAUGUCAGUAUUAUCCUUUGCAUCUGAAAGAUAUGUGAGACAAACAAAUUAACAGUUAUAUCACAGUAAGUGCAAUGACCUCUUCCAAGUUUUCCUCCUACAAAAUCUACAAAACAUUAACAGUGUAAGCAUUGAAAAAUGUUGAUAUUUGUAAAUACUGUGUUAGAAUAUUUGUAUAUAGAAUAGUCCCACAUCGACUAUAUCAUGUAAUUAGUUGUAAUCUCUCUCUAUAUAUAAUAAAGUCUCCGUAGUGCUUUUAAAACACACGGUUUAACCUAAAUGUCUCUUAGUCUCUCCUAAUUCAAUAUGGUAUCUAGAGCCUACUAAGAGAUAACUUUUCGCCAUGCUUUACCCGGUUGACCCACUGUCUUCCGGUGAUAAUUUUUUUUGCAAACCGUGUCAUCACUCCACCUUGCCGCCCGAUCCGGCCGUUUUUCCCAGCCGCCCCACUCGGCUCCCUUCAUCGCUCACAGAUCUGGUCUUCACAGCCCCAAUUUUGUUUCUUUAAGCCAUGGGAGAUGUUGAUUCCAUCUCGUUUACUAAAGUUCCGCUUAUCCCAUGUGAAAAACUAACUGGAUUAGCUAACUACAACAUAUGGGCUCGUGCUGUCGAUAUGUGGUUUCAUGGUCAGGGAUAUGAAGAUCACCUAACCACAAAAUUGGUUGAUGUUGCCGCCGUAAAAAUCGUUAAAUGGAAGAAAACGGAUGCCUCUCUCUGUACUAUGUUAUGGUUUUCCAUCGCACCUAACCUCCAAGCGCAGUAUCCAGCCUUCUCCACUUGCAAUGAGGUUUGGAAAAAGGCUAAGAAAGUCUUCUCCAACAACGUUCAUUGUCUAUACAGCGUCAUCCUCAAACUCGACACACUGAAGUUGCAAAAUAUGGAUAUACAAGCCUAUCUGAGUAAGCUUGAUGCCUUGAAAGCGAGUUACAAAACACUCAUGCCUUAUGCAAAAGAUGCAACAGCUCAUUCCGAACAACAGAGUAAAUUUUUCAUGGUCAUGGCACUUAAGGGACUACCAACAAAACUCGAGUCCGUUCGUAAUCAGAUUUUAUCAGGUACUGUUGUUCCUAACUACGAUGCAGUUAGCGAGCAACUGUUGCACUUGGCUACACCUCAUGCAUUUGGUCCAGUUUCCCCUCCAUCUAUUGUUGCUCCGACACCAGGUGACACUGCUACCGUUGCAUCUCUUGGCAACAAUCAGAAUCGCCUUCGAGGAGGGUUAUCCAACUCCAAACCUCGUCCAAAGUGUGACCAUUAUAACCGGUUUGGACAUACUAUCGACCUUUGCUGGAAGUUACAUGGCAGACCUCCACGCCAAGUAAAUGCAGCUCAAAUUGAUAAUUCAGAUACUAUGCAAACUUUACCUUCUCUUCAGAGCCCUACACCAAGCUACGAGGAUUUUCUCAAGUGGUGUCAGAAUAAUCAGACCUCUAGUUCCACGACUUCGGUUGCACACGCUGGUAAUCCAUCUAUUUGCUUCUCUCAAUCAUCUCUUAUUGGUCCUUGGGUCCUCGAUUCUUGUGCGUCUGAUCAUGUUACCAGUAAUAAAGGUCUUUUUUCUUCCCUCUCAACCUCUGGUUUCUUACCGAGUAUAACUUCCGCAAAUGGUUCUCAAACCCGAUCCCAAGGGAUUGGUACUGUUCAAAUUUUACCAUCUCUCUCUAUGACUUCUGUCCUAUAUGUACCUAAUUGCUCAUUUAAUUUACUGCCUGUCAGUCGUUUAACUCGUUCUCUAAAUUGUUCUAUUGUUACCACGAAAAAUCUCUAAGGCAUGCUGAAAGCAUAGUUAAUGACAGAGUCCUGUGAAUUUGGGGGUUAUACCCCAUCAAAGGAUGAAUAGGUGUUGGAGGCAAGAAAGGGUGGAAAAAACACAAGUCAAAGGAUGAAGCCGACAAAAGAAGCUAGCCUGGUCGAUAGGCCAUUGUGUCGACUAAGGUUAGCCAAAUGUGUAGAAGACAGCAUCGCCCUAACGUCUGGGCGGGAGAAAUUUGAAAUUUAAAAAUAAUCAGCAGUUGCAAGAAGAAUAAGAGCGCCAGAAUUUGGAGCAGUUAGCAAGACAUGGGUGCAACGGUUGUGCAGAUCGUGUGACAUAACAUCUGCUAGUUUCUAGGAGUUUUAGCUUAUGAGUAAUUCCUUUAGUUUAGUAUAAAUAGAAGGUCCCACAAGGGGAUCAGGGUGUUCACUUUGUACUGAAAAUCACUUGUAAGAAAACUUCCCAUUCCCAGCGCGAGGAAGCAAGAGUUUUUGAGAGUGCUAUGUACGUGAAUCACCACAUUUAUUUCAAUGCAACUUCCUUAUUUUUCAAUUGUUCCCGUUGAACAUUUUAUCUUAAUUUCAUUUACUUUUGAGUUAUCAUUUUACGUUGUCGUUUACGUUGUCGACACUAAUUCUAUUACGAUAAUAGAGUUUACCAAAAGCGUGUUUGUCAUAUACCUCUUUUGAAUGUUAUAGCGUUGUCGAUCACGAGUCACCUAUAGGCUGUAACAUUGUCUAAACCGUUCGUGUGAAAAAACCUUACGCUUGUUCGACACUUUGUUAGGAACCGUUUCUCACAAAGUCCUUCUGUCGACUUGGAUAAGCUUCACUUGCACUAGCACAUGUCUUGGGAUCAACUGGUCGAUCCUGCAAGUAACUCUUUGUUUUAAAGCCUAGGGAGGACCAGCGGUUGUUUACCAAUUUCCACAGUAAACAAAAUGGCACGCCCAGUGGGACGGUGCUAGAGCAGUUGCGAAAUUGCAUGAAACUUAAAAGUGGCAAACUGUAUAGUAAGCCACGAAAUAUAGUGAAAAUGUCAGAAACUAACACAAAUGAAGUACCACGAGGAACUUUAUCCGCUACGGAAACAGUAAUCUCACAGGUUGCCACUUUGCCACCGAUGACAAGUGCAACCAUAACCAUGGCGACUACGGGUGCGGUUGGAACAUCAAUUCCUCAGCCUCCACCGGGGGGUUCAGGAUCAAUGAUAACGACGUUCAGACCUUAUGUGCCUCGUUUUGACACCACAGAUCCUCUUUAUGGAAUGCCGUAUUCUUUAAUGCCAGGAUAUCAGUCGACAUCCAGUGCAACACUAUUUUCAGAUACAAAUCCUCCCUUGCAAGGAUCAGCGCAAGGGGGAAACAUGAGGAAUAAUACUCAGAACAGAACCAUGUCGCUGUCGAACACUUCAGUAGCGGUGUUGAGACAGCAAAUGAACGAUAGUAACCAUGAAUUGGUUAACAUGUUGACCAACCAGAUGGGCACAGUCUUUAAUCCACUAAUACAAGAAUCUACUGAAACAAAUAGACAGGUGGCGAACCAAUUGACACGUUUGUGCAAUUUUCUAGGGGCACCGGCUCGACAGAUGACGCCAAUGAUUAGACCGAUUGUUCCUGUGCAGAUGGAGAUAGGGGCAGCGGAGGAGGAGACAAUCCACGAAGGACAAAUCAUUCGACCCCUGCAAAAUCAAGGCGUCGAGUCAGGAAUCGCGGGACGUAACCAGAUGGUAAUGGUUAACCACACCAGGAUGCUGAUCAAAUUGUCGAUCAACAUCAAUAAGAUGACUUGGCAGUGGAAAAUAAUUUGACUACUAUUAUCGAAAGGAUUAUGGCUAGAAAUGGCAUGGGUGCUACAUUACAAAGGCCAUUAUACGCCUCCCCGUUAGCUGAGUUUAUUCUCCAAGCCGAAGCCCCCAAGGGGAUGAAAAUGCCCAAGUACACUAAAUUUGGGGGAGAAUAUGGUGAAUCGACAAUAGAGCACGUUGCCAAAUACUUAACGGAGUCAGGAGAUCUAGCUCAUAAUGAAUGUCUGAGAGUAAAAAACUUCCCCUCCUCUCUAACUAAGGCUGCCUUCACAUGGUUUACUUCGUUGGCCCCAGGUUCAAUCGAUCCGUGGGCCAGAUUAGAAAAGAAGUUCCAUGAACAAUUUUACGAAGGACACUCCAAAAUUAGUUUGGCAGAGUUAUCUAGUAUCAAGAGAAGGUUUGCUGAGAGCAUCGAUGAUUAUCUGAAUCGUUUUAGGUCCUUAAAGGCUAGGUGUUUUACGCAAGUGCCAGAACAUGAACUAGUUCAAAUGGCCGCAGGAGGUUUAGUUGAAUCGUUUUAGGUCCUUAAAGGCUAGGUGUUUUACGCAAGUGCCAGAACAUGAACUAGUUCAAAUGGCCGCAGGAGGUUUAGAUUAUUCCAUUAGGAAGAAGAUAGAUCCAACUUUUGUGAAAAGUAUGUCGCAACUGGCUGAUAGAGUUCGACAUCUAGAACGGCUAAGGUUAGAAAAAGUUAGGAUCAAUAAGUCUAGGAAAGAAAAGGUAGCGUUUGUCGAAUACGACGCGACAUACCCAAUACGUGAGGCUGAUUAUGCUUCAUCGACCGAAUUAGAAAUCGACUUGGCUGAACUAAAGCCAGGGUCCGCCUAUGAGUGUCGAUCAUUGCUGCCUGCACAAGGAAAAAAUCCUGUCAAACACAACCCAAAAUUCCCUUCGAAAACUUAUACACUUGAUGUGUCGAAAUAUGAGGAAAUUUUUGACUUAUUGGUCAAAGAUGGGAAAAUGGUGGUACCUCCUGGUACUAAAAUACCACCGUUAGAACAGAGACAGAAAAUAGGGUUUUGUAAAUAUCAUAACUAUAUUGGUCAUAAUACCUCUAAUUGUUACCUUUUCAGGGAUUUGGUUCAGAAAGCAAUUCAAGAAGGCAGGCUGAAAUUUGCUGGCCGCAGAAUGAAGAUCGACACUGAUCCUCUUCACCAGGAGGAAGCCCUGUUCGUGGAGCCAGUCGAGAUCAACAUGGUCGAGAUCACCGAAUAUGAUGAGGCCAACAUGCUGGAGAAAAUUGGGGAAAGCCCAGAUGUCGAUAUAACUGAAGUUUACCCAAGGGCUGAUGAAGACUUGGUGGAUUUUUUGUAUCGCUUCAAGAACAAGGGUUCACAAGUGUGCCUGUUCCCGAGGUGUGGUGCUGUCACCGACAAAAUAGCGGCGGAGAAUUUUCAGAAGCUGCAACUCGCUAAAAGCAAAAGGAAUGUGCCGACCAGGGGUUACCAGAAUGAAAGAGGCUUAAAAAAGGCCGUGGGAAAUAACCAAGCAAGGCCUAAAAGUUUUGUACCGUCGGCAAGUGCCCCUAGAGGUACUUGGAUCAAACCUCAGGAAAAACAAGACACCCCACAAGGUGUUGCUGCUGCUAGAGGAGGUAUAGCAAUCAACUACAAGCGUGAGUUUAAGUCUAAAAAAAGGACUCAUGUCUCUGAAAACUAUUUGGGGAAGAACCCCAUGUCGAGGACUCAAUGGAGACGUUUCUAGAGGCGUAAACAGACCGAAAGAGAAGUUUCAAGAGGCAUGACCAACGAGGCGAAUGCUGGGAAGAAAAUUGUUGUGAAGGUCGACACAACAGCGAAGGAACGGAUCAGAGAGUAUGCCCGUCGACCGACUGAAAAAUGUUCUGAUGAAGUGAUUAAUGACUUCAAUUCAGAGUCUGAAGCAAGUAUGGAUGUCCUGGUCAACAUAGUGUCAAUCCUACCACAAGAAUACAAGUGUGUGACUGAAGUCGAAGAGUCGGUAGAUGAUGCUGAUGCUGAAGAAAUGGCUUUGCACCAACCAAGAUGUUAUUUCGUGCUGAACGAUGGGUCUGCUGAAAGCCAAGAGGCAGUGUUCAAAAGACCAACGAUGAACAUGAAAAAUCAUUUGAAACCACUGUUGAUAAGGGCAAAAGUGGAAGGCGUAACUGUCAAUAAAGUCUUGGUCAAUUGGGGUGCCACGGUCAACAUCAUGCCGCACCAUAUUCUGAGGAAGAUUGGCAAGUAUGAUACCAACAUCAGAUCUAAUAACGUGGUUUUGUCGGACUAUAGAGGAAAGACGAAAAGCACAUGAGAGUGAUUAUGGUGAAUAUCACGGUGGGUUCAGUGACCAGACCGACACUAUUAAUGGUGAUAGACGCUAAGCCAAGUUACAACUUGCUAUUUGGCAGAGAGUGGCUACAUGGCGUCGGAGCUGUACCAUCUUCAGCGCACCAAAGGCUGGUGAUUUGGAGAGAAGAUGGGGUGGCCGAAAAUAUCGAAGCCGACCAAGGGUACUUUAUGGUUGACGUGAAUAAUGUCGGCAAAAAGGAGUUUGAAAGAAAGUUGGCCAACAUCUUUCCUUGUUUUCCAGCCGAGGAUGUGUAUGCUAAUCUGAGGGAAGCGUUCGUCUCUCUAACUCUGCACGAGACUUACGGUUUCAUUUGGGAUGUGGAACGCUUGGAUGAUCCAUCCUACACAGGUAUCCGACCGACAGGCUGGGGGGACGUCACUGAUGAUGUCUGAGUUAGAAGCUCUAAGAAAAAUUUCGGUAUACGUUGCCGAGAACAAAAUAAAGUCGGCUCUAGAGGCUGAAGAAAACAUGGCUGCUGAAGCCUGUGCGUUAAAUAAAGAAGGGCGUAUGGCUAUUGGGAUAGAACCCCCAGAUAAGACAACUUUGGCUAAAAGGAACACUGACAUGCAGCGUCUGGACUGCAUUUAUGACAAUGAACCGUUAGGGUUUGAAAAAGACCCAAAGGCACCAGAGAAAAUCUGACCAAAAGACCCCUUGGAAGAAGUCGACCUUGGCGAGAAUGGCGAGAAAAGGCCAACAUACAUAAGCGCCAACAUCGACAAAGAACUAAAGUCUGAGGUAAUAUCCAUACUUAAAGAAUUUAGGGAUUGUUUUGCUUGGGAUUAUAACGAAAUGCCUGGUUUAAGUAGAGACUUGGUCGAGUUAAAGCUGCCAAUAAAAGCUGGAAGAAAGCCAGUGAAGCAGACACCCAGGCGUUUCUCCCCAGAGAUCGUGGCGAAGAUAAAAGAAGAAGUAGAAAGACUUAUAAAAAGCAAGUUUAUUCAAACUGCAAGGUAUGUCGAAUGGUUGGCCAAUAUUGUGCCAAUCAUAAAGAAAAAUGGGUCUUUAAGAGUAUGUAUUGAUUUUAGAGAUCUAAUUGUUGCCACCCCAAAAGAUGAGUAUGCCAUGCCCAUGGCUGAAAUGUUGGUCGAUUCGGCCGCUGGUUUUGAAUACUUAAGCAUGUUAGAUGGUUAUGCUGGAUAUAACCAAAUUUUUAUUGCAGAAGAAGACGUGCCAAAGACGGCGUUUCGAUGUCCAGGAGCCUUAGGGACAUAUGAGUGGGUUGUCAUGCCAUUCGGCUUGAAAAAUGCUGGAGCAACAUACCAGAGGGUAAUGAACUCAAUGUUCCAUGAUUUUAUUGAAGAUUUCAUGCAAGUAUACAUUGAUGAUAUUGUGAUAAAAUUAAAUGGUCAACAUGCUCACGUCGAACAUCUUCGAAAAGCCUUUAUGAGGAUGAGGAAAUGUGGAUUAAAAAUGAAUCCAUUAAAGUGCGCUUUUUGUGUGCAAGCAGGCGACUUCCUUGGUUUUGUGGUGCAUAAAAAGGGUAUUGAAGUAAACCAAAGCAAAACAAAAGCUAAUGUGGAUUAAAAAUGAAUCCAUUAAAGUGCGCUUUUUGUGUGCAAGCAGGCGACUUCCUUGGUUUUGUGGUGCAUAAAAAGGGUAUUGAAGUAAACCAAAGCAAAACAAAAGCCAUUAUGGACGUCAAACCUUCGUCGACCAAAAAGCAGUUGCAAUCUUUUCUGGGAAAAAUAAAUUUUCUUAGAAGAUUUAUAUCAAAUCUAAGUGGAAAAACAAAAGCGUUCUCCCCACUACUUCGACUGAAGAACGAGGAUUUCAAGUGGCAGGAUGAACACCAAGAGGCUUUCGACAAAAUCAAAGAGUAUUUGACUAGGCCUCUAAUACUGGCCCCUCAUGUUAGGCAUAGGCCAAUGAGAUUGUAUAUUGCAGCCUCAAAAUCAAUUAUAGGAAGUAUGUUAGUCCAAGAGGAUGAUAAAUGUGUCGAAAGACCAGUGUAUUACCUUAGUCGGAUGCUUAAUGAUCCUGAAACUAGGUAUAGUGACAUAGAAAAACUAUGUAUAUGCCUGUAUUUCUCUUGUAUGAAACUAAAGCAAUAUAUCAAGCCUGUUGAUGUGUACGUAUCUUCCCACUUUGAUAUUAUUAAACACAUGUUAUCUAAACCAAUUUUGCAUAGUCGAAUUGGGGAAAUGGGCUUUAGCGUUAACAGAAUACUCCCUGACAUACGUACCCUUGAAAGCGAUGAAAAGGGCAGGUAGUAGCGGAUUUUCUUGUCGACCAUUCAAUGGUCGAAAUGGCGCAGAAUUACGUAGAUUUAGCACCAUGGAGGCUAUACUUCGACGGGUCAAGACAUAAGCAUGGAUCUGGGAUAUGAGGAGUCAUAAUUUCUCCAGAUGGAAUUCCAGCAGAGUUCAAAUACAGAAUCAAAGGGGUAUGCACCAAUAAUGAAGUAGAAUAUGAGUCACUGAUCACCAGACUUGAACUAAUGCUAGAAUUAGGGGCAAGGAAUGUCGAAAUUAUGGGAGACUCGGAGUUAGUGAUUAAACAAGCGUCAAAAGAGUACAGGUAUGUUAGAGAAAAUUUAAUCAUGUACUUUGUGGUCACCAUCAGAUUACUCAAGAGGUUUGAGCAAGUCAAUCUCCAACACGUUCCACGACAAGAAAACCAAAGAGCAAAUGAUUUGGCGCAGGAGGCCUCAGGGUACAAAGCGUCGAAAGACCAGGAUGAAGAGGUCCAGGUAAGAGAGAAAGUACGAGCAACAAUGUUAUCACCGUCAGAUUUGGCGAUCGUGAAGUUGGGAGCCAUAGAUAAAAAUCAUUUUGAAAUUCUGGAUGUCGACGAUGAAGAUGAAAGCGAUUGGCGUAAACCGCUAGUCGAUUACUUACGUAAUCCCGUGGGGUCGACAAAUUGAAAGAUAAAAUAUAGGGCCCUUAGCUACGUUUUGGUAAAUGAUGAAUUAUUCAAAAAGACGGUCGAAGGAGUGUUAUUAAAAUGCCUGGGAGAAAGUGAGGCAUACGUGGCUGUGUCGAGCAUACAUAGCGAGGCGUGUGGGGCACAUCAAGCAGGUUUGAAGAUGAAAUGGCUCUUGAUGCGCUCAGGAGUUUAUUGGCCUUCAAUGCUGAAAGAUUGCAUUGAAUUUGCUAAAGGCUGUCAAGAAUGCCAAUUACAUGGGGGCAUACAGCAUGUGCCUGCAAGCGAGCUGCAUACAAUUGUGAAGCCCUGGCCAUUUCGAGGAUGGGCUCUGGAUGUUAUAUGAGAAAUAAAGCCAGCCUCGUCGAAACAACAAAGAUACGUGUUAGUCGGUAUCGACUAUUUCACAAAAUGGGUCGAAGCCGUAGCAUUAACAAAUGUGGACCAAGAGGCUGUGGUAGACUUUGUCCAGAGUUACAUCAUCUGCAGAUUUGACAUCCCAAAAACUAUCACAACCGACCAGGGGUCAGUUUUCACUGGUCGAAAAGUGCAAGAUUUUGCAAAAGAAAUGGGAAUCAAAUUACUGACCUCUACCCCCUAUUACGCACAGGCGAAUGGCCAAGUCGAAGCUGCUAAUAAGGUGAUCAUCAGCCUAAUAAAGAAACACAUAGGAAAGAAGCCAAGAAAUUGGCAUAAGACGUUGGAUCAAGCUUUGUGGGCGUGUGGAACGUCACCAAAAGAAGCAACUGGAACAACCCCAUUUCGAAUGGUGUAUGGGCAUGACGCAGUAUUUCCAGUAGAGAUUCAGGUCCAGGCGGUCAGAACCCAAAGGCAGUACGAAAUACCUUCUGAAUAUUACUGGAGUAUGAUGACAGACGAAUUGGUCGACGUAGAUGAAGAAAGAAUGUUAGCGUUAGACUCCCUACAAAGGCAGAAAGAGAAAGUCUCCCGAGCCUACAAUAAAAAGGUGAAAGGUAAAGUGUUUGUUGUUGAUGACCUGGUUUGGAGAGUGAUCCUGCCUAUGGACAGAAAUGAUAGAGUUUUGGGUAAAUGGUCCCCUAAUUGGGAAGGACCGUUUAAGGUUUUACAGGCCUUUUCUAAAAACGCCUACGAGGUCGAAGAAUUGGCACCAGAUAGGAGAAUCUUAAGAGUGAAUGGAAAGUACUUGAAAAAAUAUAGGCCUCUCCUUCAAGAGGUCAAAAUUUUGGCAGACUAAAUAACUGUCGAAAGAAUAAGGUUGGAGAUAACUAUGUUAGAAACCAGCUGCAAAGGCACAGAAAAUAAAUAUACAGUGCUAGAAGUAAGAAAGAUAACAUUAAAGUGGCAAGAAGCCAUUGUUUAAAUAUUACAAAAAACUUGUACAGACAGUAGAAGCGGUCAAAGCUGGCCGAACUUAGAUUGGAAAGACUUAAGCUCAAAAUUAUAAUGCAAGGACGUAGGCUCCAAAGUGUCGGCAUGGGCUUUGAGCUCUUCAAGCUUCCCUUCGACAACCAUAAGCUCUUCACCGACCGCUAAGGCAUCACUGGUGGUUUGCUCCAUAGUGGCCUGGGUAGGUUUUAGCACUUCGUCGAUAAACGUGACUCCUCCUUGAUAAUUGAUUCCAACUCACUGUCUAGAAUGGCAAGUUGAUGCCGAAGGGCAUCAAUUUGUUGACGUAUUUCAGUGGCCCGUGUUUGUUUGAAAGUCAAUUCCUUUUGUCGCUCCUCCAUAGCCCCCAACAUAUUGGUGACCUCCGCGUCGACAUGCGUCACCAACUCCCAUUUCUCCUUUACGGAGGCCUCGGUAACAACAAUCUGGCGUUCAAUGUCCGGGACGCUGUCGAUGUGGUGCAGCAUAGGAACCAGAAUUUAUUCGAAAGCCGCCAUUGCACGCUUGGCAUAAUCAGAGAGCUGGAGAUCCUUUAGUUGGGCAAGCACGCUCAGGAUCUCUGGACCGACAACAGGUUCAUGCAUGAGCACGAAAGGAAGAUCAGGAUUCAAGGUGUGAACGCGGAUUUUGUCCAUGAGAGCCUUAGCCUUCGUCGCCUCAGGGCCCAUUUUGCCAGAAUGGAGCUGCUCAGAGUCUGAAGAGGCAUCACGCGAUUUCACCAGAUUGCAGAGCCUGGCAAUUGCUUCUAAAGAAGAAGGCUUGAUCGUCAGACCCGGGAAAGUCGAAGGGGAAGCAGUUGGCGGAGGAAUAAUCUGAGGAGAGGGAGAAACCGUCGACGGAGGAAUAAUCUGAGAGGGUUGUUGUUUGUUGGUGUCGACACAUACUGGCUCCCGUGGAUCCUGCAAAGGCAAGGAAGCUGAAGAAAGACUAGAGUCAGAACUAGUCAAACUGAAGUCCGGAUGCGUUGCAGGACUAGUGACCGAGUCAGAGUCAGUAUCACUAAUCUGGAUAGGGAAUUCAAUGAACUCACCAGCAGUGUCGACAGACUGAGUCAGAACUAGUCAAACUGAAGUCCGGAUGCGUUGCAGGACUAGUGACCGAGUCAGAGUCAGUAUCACUAAUCUGGAUAGGGAAUUCAAUGAACUCACCAGCAGUGUCGACAGACUGAAAUGGGCGAGCUGGAGAAGAGAUCGGCGAUGCGAGAGUAUAGUCAGCAACAGGUUGAGUCGGCUCAGUAGAGGCCUCAGCCUGCAGAAAGAAAAAUUGUGUAAGAUAAGUAUAAAGUAUAAAAAUCCAAAGGAGUAAGCAGGAAAAUCGGUAAAUACCUGUGUCGAUGCAAGAGAGACUGCAUCCUGAUUUUUUUUCCCCAAGGCAGCAGCAUGAGAGAUGCCCGUCGACGGUGAAGCUCCCACAGCUGGAUCAAGGCCCAGAUUGAGGAUGGAAGUGUCGACCACAAUGGUGUCGACGUCUUCAACAGGAACCUCCGAAGGAGGCAUUGUAUGGUGCCUUUUCUUCUUGGUUUCGCCACUCUUGGAGGGAGAUUCAUGUUUUUUCCUCAUGUGGCCAUGGUGGCUUUUGGAUUUAUGCUGGGAAGUAUGUUGGAGACACGAAGAGAGGUUAUAAGCAGAUAUUCUAGCCAGAAGAGUAGACAAGCCGACAAGAAAUACCUCAGAGCCUGCGGGGGCAGAGUGUUUGUGUUUUUUGGAUAUUUUGGAGUGAGAGGAGACAGUAGGUUCUGUCGAGCGUGGUUGACCCGCACAUAAGUGAGAUAUGAGCGACCACAUAGUAGUUCUCUUAAGAAGGCACAAGAGUAGAUAGGAAUGCUUCAGAUAGGGGCAUGCAGAGGAACUGGGUUUCCUUAAGACUUGAGUGAUAAGGCGCCCAUCAUCGUCAGAAGAUUUCUCAGGAGCAGUCUGCAAGAAGGGAGGGGAUGGCUAAGAAUAAAAACAAAAAAAAAGCCAAAGGAAACAACAGCUCAGCCAGAGUCGAACCUGCGCCUCUUGUGUCGAAGGAGUAGGUUGAUUAGCAGAUGCAGAACCUACAGGAUUUAGAGGGAUCGCUGCGAAUAAACAAAAGAAACGCAAGUGAGCUGUGAAAUCCAGCUAGAAAAGAGUGUUAAAAUUUCCGGAGAAGUGUUACCAAGUUGUGUGGUUUCGAACACGCUAACAUACUGAGGAUCAAUAUGAAGCGGCCCUGAGUAGUCAGGUAGAUAAUACUUCGUUGGGACCACUUUGUCGGCCUUUUUCUUAGAGGCAUUUUGUACGCAUGAAAUAGGACAAUAAAACCACACCGGAACCAAAUGACCAAAGGCCAAAGCCAGAGGACUAGAUGGCAGAGGAGGGAACUUGAGGUUUCCAAAGUGAAGGGCGUAAAGAUACUUGUCUUUCACGUGACCAGGGAUUUUGAGUUUUGAAAGCCUGUCUGUUAUUUUUGCCUUUAGUUCGACCGCAACCGUCCAAAUGGUCCCACGAAGAUUAUCUGGUCGAUACACAACUUGGAAAUAAUUCUGAAAAGCACGAAUUUGUUUGACAUGAAGAGCCUUACACUUGGUCGACUUCGCCUGCAAACAAACAAAAGCCUCAGUUAAUUCAGAUAGUAUGGCAUCAGGAGCGCCAACAUAAAGGGUAAAAUACGACUUCCACCAAUCAUGAAAUUCUUUGGUACAGUAGUAGGCUGGUCGAAAAAGAAGAGAAGAGAGACAUGGUCGGUUUUUCCAAAUGGUUUCAAGUUCCUCUUCGACCUCGCUCCAAGGUUGACCGCAGAGGAUAUUGGCAAGUAAUUCUUGAGAGGAGAACAGAGACUUGGGAAUGAAUUGGCAAAGGCCAAAUUGCCUGGCCACGAGGUUAGGCUGAUAAGCCACUAAACCAGGAUUGUUGCUGGCGGUCUCAGCCGACAGGAAUCGAGGGACCAGAAAACGCCUCCAAAUGACGAAGGUUUCAUCUCUAUGUUCCCCGUCAUCCGGAGGUAAAGGUUUGGUGAGCCACUCAGGACCCUCAGUUUAACGGCUGAAAGGGGCCAUAAAAGGUAGAAAAUCGACACGAGUCAACAUGAUGUUGAAUAAGAGUCGAAACACUUGAAGGUCCAGGAAGUUUUUGUCGAUAGGCGUCAGGGGGAUCAACCGCUUCCAGAUAAGAUGUCGUUCCUCUGGGGGACACGCAACCCUCCUCAUUCCGUAAGGGGCUAUAUCUUUAGAGAAAGUGGCAUUGAGCCACAACUGCAAAAACCAGAAAGGGCCACGGACCGACACACUUUUCUUUCUGGAGUUCUCGGGGUCGAAGAGCCUAAUUUGGCAGACAACCUCAGAUAGAGACUUAUAGAGAGAAGCUAAAAUCAGUUGGCCCAAGGCAAUGCCACGCUCUUGGUGUAGUUGGGUCGCCAAGAGGGCAAAGUGCUUGGCUACCUGCAUAGAUCUAGAACAGAAGACAAAACGGGACAACCAGAGGGUCAAAAACGCCACAUGUUCCUCGUCGGUCACAGGGCCUGCAGAGGUGGCAUGAUGAUCAAUAAAAUUGUUGUAUGUUGGCUUGCGAGAGUCAGCAACGUCGAACCUCAAGGAAAUUGGCGCUACAGCUUCGCAGUCGAAAACUUCGCCAGUCGGUUUCAAGCUAGUGAUGACAGCAAUGUCCAGAAGUGUCAGCGUGAUCAUGCCACACUUAGUAUGGAAGGAUUUGGUCGAACUCUCCCAGAAUUGAAGGGCAGCUAAUAACAUGCCACAAGACUGGGGAGGGCCACAACGGGCAAUCUGUAAAAGGGUAUAGAUGUCUGUCCUUUUCCAGUGGUCGAUUUUUUCUGAUUCCAAUCGGUCCAUCCAAGCGCAAAACUUAGGACAAUUUCUGGGAGGAGCAAUCCUGAAGUUCCUGUCGACGUAGCGAAGGGAGAAGGGUUGUUGAGCGGAAAUCACAGGUUCAGAAAUGUGACUGGCGGGGAAGAGGGAAGAGUCGUUUUUGGUAAUCUCUGGGUGUCGGUUUUCUGGGAGAGGACCUAAGAACGCUAAGGGUUCAUUAGCCAAAGAGAGAGAAAUCAAUACCUGAGAACGCCAGAUUUUUUCUUUUUCUUCUGCAAACGGAGGCUCGGGAACAUACUCCCUACCAUCAAUGUUGAUGGGAUGUGUGAGUUUUGCAGCAGAAGGUUUGUUGGAGCUUGCCAUGGAGAGAAUAGAAGAUUUUUCGGUUUGAAGAAGAAGAGUUCUCACAGAGAGCAGGAGACAAGUAAAUGUUGAAGCAAGAGGGCGAAAAAAGAGAAGAAGAAGAAAGAGUGAGGGUUUUAUAGAGUUUAAACCCUGAGCAGAGAAGAGUGAGCGGUUGAACUUCCAUUUUUGACACGUAUGCCCACGUUCCCACGCUUACAGACACGUGGAGGAGAGAGGGCAAGCAAAAAGACAAACACGUUCAGUCAUAAAGAUGCGAAAUGACGUAGACAUGAUUUUGUUCGUCUCGAGGGGAAAAGGAAACGUCCGCCAUGAUUAUAUGACGUCAUCAGCGUUGGGUAAAUAGAGGUCCCACUAAGCAAAAGUGGAAACAGUAAGGGGUAAAUUGAAGUUUCAGAGAUGCCAUCAUCUCACCAACUUCGACAGUCGAAAAUGGCAUCUCUGGGGGGCAUUUUGUUACCACGAAAAAUCUCUAAGGCAUGCUGAAAGCAUAGUUAAUGACAGAGUCCUGUGAAUUUCACCAACUUCGACAGUCGAAAAUGGCAUCUCUGGGGGGCAUUUUGUUACCACGAAAAAUCUCUAAGGCAUGCUGAAAGCAUAGUUAAUGACAGAGUCCUGUGAAUUUGGGGGUUAUACCCCAUCAAAGGAUGAAGAGGUGUUGGAGGCAAGCAAGGGUGGAAAAAACACAAGUCAAAGGAUGAAGCCGACAAAAGAAGCUAGCCUGGUCGACAGGCCAUUGUGUCGACUAAGGUGAAGUUUGAGACUUAAAGAAUUAUCGCCAAAUGUGUAGAAGACAGCAUCGCCCUAACGUCUGGGCGGGAGAAAUUUGAAAUUUAAAAAUAAUCAGCGGUUGCAAGAAGAAUAAGAGCGCCAGAAUUUGGAGCAGUUAGCAAGACAUGGGUGCAACGGUUGUGUAGAUCGUGUGACAUAACAUCUGCUAGUUUCUAGGAGUUUUAACUUAUGAGCAGUUCCUUUAGUUUAGUAUAAAUAGAAGGUCCCACAAGGGGAUCAGGGUGUUCAUUUUGUAAUGAAAAUCACUUGUAAGAAAACUUCCCAUUCCCAGCGCGAGGAAGCAAGAGUUUUUUAGAGUGCUAUGUACGUGAAUCACCACAUUUAUUUCAAUGCAACUUCCUUAUUUUUCAAUUGUUCCCAUUGAACAUUUUAUCUUAAUUUCAUUUACUUUUGAGUUAUCAUUUUACUUUGUCGUUUAUGCUGUCGACACUAAUUCUAUUACGAUAAUAGAGUUUACCAAAAGCAUGUUCGUCAUAUACCUCUUUUGAAUGUUAUAGCGCCAUCGGUCACGAGUCACCUAUAGGCUGUAACAUUGUCUAGACCGUUCGUGUGGAAAAACCUUACGCUUGUUCGACACUUUGUUAGGAACCGUUUCUCACAAAGUCAUUUUGUCGAGUUGGACAAGCUUCACUUGCACUAGCACAUGUCCUGGGAUCAACUGGUCGAUCCUGCAAGUAACCCUUUGUUUUAAAGCCUAGGGAGGACCAGCGGUUGUUUACCAUGUCGAGUUGGACAAGCUUCACUUGCACUAGCACAUGUCCUGGGAUCAACUGGUCGAUCCUGCAAGUAACCCUUUGUUUUAAAGCCUAGGGAGGACCAGCGGUUGUUUACCAAUUUCCACAGUAAACAUCUAUAACCUUUACUAAUAGUAAUGUUACUCUGCAGGAUCGGAGUUCGGGACAGACGAUUGGCGUCGGAUGUGAGUCUCAAGGCCUCUACUACUUCUCUAUGUCAUCUACCACAUACUCCACCACAAAUUCUCCACUCAUUAUACAUGCGCAGUUAGGUCAUCCAGGUCUUCCCAAGCUACAAAAGUUGGUGUCUAGUCUAUCUAAAUUGUCCAUUUUACAUUGUGAGUCUUGUCAGUUAGGGAAACAUACUCGUAGUGACUUUCCUGAUCGAGUCAAUAAACGGGUUGCGUCCCCUUUUGCUUUAGUUCACUCCGAUGUUUGGGGUCCCUCGCGUACCGUGUCGACUUUUGAGUCUAGAGAUUUUGUAACUUUUAUUGAUGAUUUUUCACGUUACACAUGGCUAUUUUGAAUGAAGAACAAAUCUGAAUUAUUUUCUAUUUUUGAACAAUUUUAUCGAGAAAUAAGAACCCAAUUUGGUUUGUCUAUUCGUACCUUAAGAAGUGAUAAUGCACAUGAAUAUUUAUCCCCACAAUUUCAAACUUUUAUGUCAUCCAAUGGUAUUCUGCACCAAACAUCUUGCCCUCAUACACCCCAACAAAACGGGGUAGCCGAAAGCAAAAAUCGGCAUCUUGUAGAAACCACUCGGACCCUACUUAUCCAUGGUAAUGUUCCUCUCCAUUUUUGGGGGGAUGCGGUGCUCACGGCAUGUUACCUCAUAAAUCGCAUGCCCUCAUCUGUCCUUAAUAGUAAAAUCCCUCAUUCAAUCUUAUUUCCAAAUUCUCCUCUCCACCCAAUUCCUCCUCGAGUAUUCGGGUCAACGUAUUUUAUACGCAGUCUCUCCCCUGGUCUUGAUAAACUAGCAGCUCGAUCACUAAAGUGUGUCUUUCUUGGUUAUCAUCGUUCCCAAAAGGGUUAUCGUUGUUAUUCUCAUACUCUACAACGAUACCUCAUAUCGACCUAUGUUACCUUCUUCGAGUCUGUUCCAUAUUUCGGGUCCAACAACCUAGUAUCUCCGGAACCUCUUCAAGAAAGUACUCCCACACCUUUUCCGACAGUUAUUAAUGUCCCGCCUACCAUUAUCCCCCACCAGUCUAUGGCUCCUGACCCCCUACUUCUCGACCACUUCAAACAUAUCAGCGUCGUCGCCCAACGUCUGUCGUCCUCGUCCCUGAGGUCAUACUUGUCCCUGAGGUCAUUGCAGACUCUCCUCCGACGCCUCCACCAUCACCGGAUCCGAUCCUGCAACCUGAGUCUGAUCUUUCGAUUGCCCUUCGAAAAGGUAUACGUCAAACAUGAAAUUCGUCUCCAUAUUAUAUUGAUUUAUGUUAUCAUCGUCUUUCCCCUUUGCAGUAUACUUGUUUGUCUUCUUUGUCUUCUGUUUCUAUUCCUAAAACUCCAGGUGAAGCAUUAUCUCACCCUGAGUGGAGGCAAGCAAUGAUUGAUGAAAUGUGUGCUCUUCAAAGCAGUGGUACCUGGGAACUGGUUCCUCUACCCCCUGGGAAAUCUUUAGUAGGCUGUCGUUGGCUUUAUACAGUGAAGGUUGGUCCAAAUGGUAAGAUUGAUCGAUUUAAAGUUCGCUUGGCAGUCAAAUGAUACACUCGGAUUUUUGGAUUGGAUUAUAGUGAUACCUUCUUGCCUGUAGCCAAUAUGGCAUCUGUUAGACUUCUUCUAGCCAUUGCAGCCAUUCGGCAUUGGCCUCUUCAUCAACUUGACAUCAAAAAUGCUUUUUUUACAUGGUGAUCUUGAAGAGGAAGUAUAUAUCGAGCAACCACCUGGAUUUGUUGCUCAGGGGGAGUCAUUGAAUAUGGUGUGUAGGUUACACAGGUCUCUUUAUGGUCUUAAGCAAUCUCCGAGAGCUUGGUUCGGCAGAUUCAGCGUUGUAGUACAACAGUUUGGUAUGGUCCGUAGUGAAGCUGACCAUUCUGUUUUUUAUCGUCACUCAGGCCCAAGGGUGUAAUUUAUCUUAUUGUGUACGUAGAUGAUAUUGUCAUAACUGGUAGUGAUCAGCAGGGUAUACUCCAGUUAAAACAACAUCUCUCGAAUCAAUUUCAGACAAAAGACCUUGGUAAACUCUGUUAUUUCUUGGGUAUUGAGGUAGCCCAAUCUAAAGAUUGUUUGGUGAUUUCUCAGCGGAAAUAUGCUAUGGAUAUUUUGGAAGAAACAUGUUUGUUGAAUGCCAAACCAACUGAUACUCCUAUGGAUCCAAGUGUCAAACUACUACCCAAUCAGGGGGAGCCUCUAUCUGACUCAGGAAGGUAUAGGAGAUUGGUUGGAAAGUUGAAUUAUAUCACAGUCACACGUCCAGACAUUUCUUUUGCGGUUAGUGUGGUAAGUCAUUUCUUAAAUUCCCCUUGUCAGGAACACAUGGAAGCUGUUAUUCGGAUUCUGAGAUACAUCAAAUGUGCUCCAGGAAAAGGGUUAGUGUAUGAAGAUAAAGGACAUACUCAGAUAAUUGGAUACUCUGAUGCUGAUUGGGCAGGGUCACCUAUUGAUAGACGAUCCACCUCUGGGUAUUGUGUACUUGUUGGAGGAAACCUUAUAUCUUGGAAAAGUAAGAAACAAAACGUAGUUGUAAGAUCAAGCGCCGAGGCAGAGUAUAGGACCAUGGCAAUGGCAACAUGUGAACUUAUUUGGUUAAAAUAGUUGCUCAAGGAACUUCAAAUUGAAGAAGCAUCAAUGACACUUAUUUGUGAUAAUCAAGUUGCAUUGCACAUUGCUUCAAAUCCAGUCUUCCAUGAGAGGACCAAACAUAUUGAGAUAGACUGUCACUUUGUUAGAGAGAAGAUUGAGUCAGGUGACAUCGUCACAAGCUUUGUAAAUUCUAAUGAUCAAUUGGCAGACGUGUUUACAAAAUCUCUGAGAAGUCCCCGAACAAAUUAUAUAUGUAACAAGCUUGGUGCAUUUGACUUAUAUGCUCAAGCUUGAGGGGGAGUGUUGAUAUUUGUAAAUACAUAGUGUUAGAAUAUUUGUAUAUAGAAUAGUCUCACAUCGACUAUAUCAUGUAAUUAGUUGUAAUCUCUCUCUAUAUAAUAAAGUCUCCGUAGUGCUUUUAAAACACACGGUUUAACCUAAAUGUCUCUAAAUGUCUCUUAGUCUCUCCUAAUUCAAUAAAAAGUAAAUAAGCUCAGUACAAGAAAGCCAACAAAAAGUCAUUAAGACGAGUGAGAAAAUGUUCAAAUCAAAAAAAGGCUUCACAUUUUUAUAAAAGUUGUACAUAUUAAUUCAAAAAAUGAAAUGAAUGAAUGAACCUGAAUAAUAUGUUGAGCACAAACAAAUCAAACCAAAUCAAAAGAGGUAAACAGAAGAACAUCAUCUCUGAUGACCUCAAGACUGUUUUUGAUCUAUUUAUGAAAUAUUCAUAGCAAGGGUGUGGUACCUAAAAUGUCUCCAACGAUCAAGUUAAUAAUGGAUUCAAAAUAAUGUUGGGAAAUAAAACAAAACCAUCAAAUAGUUCAUUAAUCUAUAACAAAUAAAGAUAGCAAUGAGUUAACAUACACUUGGUCAAGCAUCCUUAUCCCCAAAGCAACUUUAGUAUAGUGAUGACAUGUCACAGUAAAGUGAGCAAAUCAUGAAACCUUGGUAGGACUAACAACUCUCUGUCAAGAAAAAUCUAAUACGGUUUGGUGUUGGGACUCCAAAAUUACAUUUCAAAAUGAAAACACAAUACCACUGACACCAGUAUAAUCAAAGAAAGUGUCAGAAAUAGCUCAAAAUAAACUGCAGAACUCAACCACUCACUGUAUUCGGAAAGUAGCAUUUCGCCACAAUAUUUGUGCAGUAUUUAUAACAAAACAAUCCCCUUGUAUAUAUAUAGUAAAAACAAAUUGAAAGAGGAAAAUAGAAGAACAUUACCUCAUAAGGACCUCAGGGCUGAUUUUAAUAUAUUCAUGACACGAGCAUAACAAGGUUGUGGUACCUGCCUGCAAAGACUCUGACAAUAUAGUAAGACUUGUGACAUG
rnacentral:lncRNA from 1 species